rnacentral:rRNA from 1 species
AGAAUCAACGCUGGCGGCGUGCCUAACACAUGCAAGUCGAACGAGAAAGUGGUAGCAAUACCAUGAGUAAAGUGGCGCACGGGUGAGUAACACGUGACUAACCUACCCUUGAGUGGGGGAUAACUGAGGGAAACCUUAGCUAAUACCGCAUAAUACCCACGGGUCAAAGGAGCAAUUCGCUCGAGGAGGGGGUCGCGGCCGAUUAGUUAGUUGGCGGGGUAAUGGCCCACCAAGACGAUGAUCGGUAUCCGGCCUGAGAGGGCGCACGGACACACUGGAACUGAAACACGGUCCAGACUCCUACGGGAGGCAGCAGUGGGGAAUUUUGCGCAAUGGGGGAAACCCUGACGCAGCAACGCCGCGUGGAGGAUGAAGUCCUUCGGGACGUAAACUCCUUUCGAUCGGGACGAUUAUGACGGUACGGAAGAAGAAGCCCCGGCUAACUUCGUGCCAGCAGCCGC